rnacentral:rRNA from 1 species
CGACGUGAGGAACCUGCCUUUCAGAGGGGGACAACAGUUGGAAACGACUGCUAAUACCGCAUAACACAUAGGUGUCGCAUGGCAUUUAUGUCAAAGAUUUAUCGCUGAAAGAUGGCCUCGCGUCUGAUUAGCUAGUUGGUGAGGUAACGGCUCACCAAGGCGACGAUCAGUAGCCGGACUGAGAGGUUGGCCGGCCACAUUGGGACUGAGAUACGGCCCAGACUCCUACGGGAGGCAGCAG